rnacentral:rRNA from 1 species
UACAGAGGUCCCGAGCGUUGUUCGGAUUCAUUGGGCGUAAAGCGCGCGUAGGCGGCCCGGUAAGUCCGCUGUGAAAGUCAAAGGCUCAACCUUUGAAUGUCAGCGGAUACUGCCGGGCUAGAGUCCGGAAGAGGCGAGUGGAACUCCUGGUGUAGCGGUGGAAUGCGCAGAUAUCAGGAAGAACACCAACGGCGAAGGCAGCUCGCUGGGACGGAACUGACGCUAAGGCGCGAAAGCGUGGGGAGCGAACAGG